AUGGCCACCGGAGGCACACCGGAGCUGGAGGAGGAGAUCGCCGUCUUCCCCGACUGGGUGAUGCUGGAUUGCAUGAGCCGCACCCACUGGUACGGUGACCUAGCCUCUGGCCGUGAGGCCGUCAGCAGGAACAAGACAGCUGUUGGACUCAACAUGGACAGCGGCCACUCCAUGACUCCCAUGUACGUGUCCUUCACCCUCGCGGCUCCUCCAAGUAACGAGUUGCAGGCGCUUGUUCCAUGCGUGUCGAGCUCUGUGUCUUCAUCUCCAAGUCAUGAAAGUGGACGUUCUUCCUCAAGAAUGCCCCACAGAGCAAUGGCGUGUGCUUCCCCAACCUCUGGUCAACCGAGCUCCGUGCUCGCAUUCGAGGGACGUUUUCUGUGCUGGGUCGACUACUUCAGCGGUGUCCUGCUAUUCGAUUUCUCCGGCACCUGCUCGCCGGUGCUACAUUUCGUGCCAUUCCUUUGA
rnacentral:rRNA from 1 species